AACGAACGCUGGCGGCAUGCCUAACACAUGCAAGUCGAACGAGACCUUCGGGUCUAGUGGCGCACGGGUGCGUAACGCGUGGGAAUCUACCCUUGGGUUCGGAAUAACAGUUAGAAAUGACUGCUAAUACCGGAUGAUGACGUAAGUCCAAAGAUUUAUCGCCCAAGGAUGAGCCCGCGUAAGAUUAGCUUGUUGGUGGGGUAAUGGCCUACCAAGGCGACGAUCUUUAGCUGGUCUGAGAGGAUGAUCAGCCACACUGGGACUGAGACACGGCCCAGACUCCUACGGGAGGCAGCAGUGGGGAAUAUUGGACAAUGGGCGAAAGCCUGAUCCAGCAAUGCCGCGUGAGUGAUGAAGGCCUUAGGGUUGUAAAGCUCUUUUACCAGGGAUGAUAAUGACAGUACCUGGAGAAUAAGCUCCGGCUAACUCCGUGCCAGCAGCCGCCGCCG
rnacentral:rRNA from 1 species